rnacentral:lncRNA from 1 species
GAGCGGCUACGGCUCGCGAGCCGCCUCCGCCCAACUUUCUCCCUCGGCUUUCCUAGUUUAUUUUCUUUCAGGCGCCCUAAUGGGCGGUUUUGACUUCUUGGUGGCACUGCGUAAUAAGCCAGUGUCACCCCUCUGACUCCCGUCCCCGCACGCGUGAUCUUGUUAAGGAAUUAGUCCUUUUGCGCGGAGUUCGGUUGAAUGAGAAGAAUAGGUUGGCAGCACAGACUUGUGAGAGGAAGUAGAUGAAAAAGAGUCUUUGGCACUUGUUUAGCCGGAAUCUGAGAAUAAUUUUGGAAAGUAUUCUCUGGAACAAGGGGGUGGGCAGAAGCUGGCUCCUGUAAAAGGACUCCCUACAGGAAAACGGAGACCUGUAAUGUAGAACGACCGCCUCGCCUUACGGAUGGGAAGCUGAGGACAGUCGUCGCUGUAAAACUUUGACAGGUGCCCAAUAUGAGAUGAAAAGAACAAGGGAAACGGGCCUAAGUCGUGUGAUAAGGGGCUCCAGGAAAGAAGCACCCCUCUGAAACUGGCCAGUAAGUCGUGUGAGACAGUGAUGGAGAAGACAGUAUGAGAAACAUGAAAGUUUUCGUUGUCUAAAAGGUAAUGUUGACAGAAUUCAAUAAAAAACUUUAAAAGAGAUAAUUCAGAAUUCAUUUUAAAAGUUCGGGUGGGUGUGGUGGCAUGUUCCUAAUCUCAGGACCAGGAGGCAGGAAGAUUACUGCAUACUGAGUCCAGGUCAGAAUGAGCUAUAGAUUGAAACAGGAAACCGAUCUGACAAUCUGGAUCCUCAAUGUGUAUGAAGCAUCAAAGUCAGAAGCAGCAGGCAAAUUCCAUUCCAGCCUUGACAAGGCAAGAGGAGAGGCAAUAUGCACACGAGGUGGUGGAACUUUCCUGGACCCUCCCAGGAAGGAAGCUAUCCCAGCCUCCACGGUGCUUUUCCUGCUUCCAGUGGUCGAGGCUGAAUCAUCAGGCGCCUGGUUGGCGUCUUCUCUGUAUUUGUCCGGCUGUGCAGAAAAUGUUUUAGAAGAAUCCUUUUCAGCAAGUUCAGCUUUGAUGUUACUAUCUUUUCCAUCUCUAAUAUCUACUAUUCGGUGGUAAAGCUCCGUCCAAAGCGUCGAGACACACGUUCUUUUGGAGUAGAUAAUUUGGACACAGAACUUUUUUUACACACAUCAAACAGCGGCUCGGGGAAGUUGGCCAACUGCAAAGACUCUUCCUCAGGUUCUCUGUGAUGCGGCGUAUUCACCGUUGAACUGGGCUCCGCACACCACCUGUUGGCUUCAUUGCCAUUUCUAGCCACCGUGUCUUCAUACAUUCUCACCCCAAAAAUCAUCUUGCUGCUCUGCCUGCUGGAGGCAGAAGACGAACACUUUGAACUAGAACAGUCUGCGUCCUGUAUGUCUUCCAAGCAGUCAGGAACAUUGUACAGCUGGAGGUAGUUCAUUGCCACUUUGAACUGCUCGAAACUGGAAGGAGCGGUCAUGAUCUUUCCUAAAUACAUGAACUGCAAAAUGAGAUCAAAGCACUCAGCACUUAUCUUCAUGUUGCUGAGGUUCAGUUGUGCAGUACUGUGCUGAUGGUUCAUGAAAAACAUCCUAAAGUAGGAGCUACAGGCAGCCAGGACGGCUUUGUGUGCUUGGAAGUAGAUGUCGUCGAUAGCGAUACAGCAGUCACAGAGAAAGCCCCACUCUCUUUGGUUGUUGAGCUGCUGCAGGACAUAGCUGCUGUGGCUGGGCUUUGCCAUCUUCUGCUGACUCGACCUAUGCAAAACAAAACGUAACGGUCAGGCGGCAGGAAGGCACUUCAAAAGGGACCCUUGAGCAUGACUUUCACUUGUGUACCUUUGCUAUGACAAUCAAAGCAUGGUUUUCUACUAAGUCUGAAGAUGAAAAUACCUAGUCAUUUAUUCAAUUUUCUCAUACUGAACAAAAAAGGAAUCAGAAGCAAAAUCCGUAAUUUUUUUUUAAAAUUAAAAACAAAUCUAAACCCAAGACCUGAUCAACUAUAGAUCACAUACCCUGUUGUUCAUACUUGCAUGCUAUAUACAGGCCCACAUUGUCCCCCUUCCUAUUCCUUUCCCUACCGAAAUGUGUCAGAGUUUCCUAGGAAGAGAUGGAGCCUGUGAAACGGAGAAGCCAUGUGGGUUCCAGAAGCCAAAUCAAGUGUCUCAAUAAGCUCUAGAAUUACAGCCCUGCACCACCAUGCCUGGUUUACUAAGUGCUUGCGACAGAACCCAGGACUUCCCGCAUGCUGGGUCAAUAAAUGUUCCCAACUUAACACGGAUGAGCCAUCUCUGUAGUUCAACUGGAUGCCAUGUCUAGAUAGAAACGGAAUUCAUCCACACAGCAGGCAGAGGGAAGAAAAUGGGGUUCUGAACUCUGCUUCCUCUCUGGUGUAAGAGGAAAGGUAUUUUACAUAUCC